rnacentral:tRNA from 1 species
GGAGGAGUGGCCGAGUGGCUAAAGGCGGCGCCCUGCUAAGGCGUUGGGUGGAAACACCCACCAGGGUUCGAAUCCCUGCUCCUCCG